CACCCGGGCACUGGCGGGGCAGAGCCGCAGACUGCAGGCACAGGUGGAAUCCUUCGAAAGCUGGAUGCGUGCAGGGACCCCAACACUCUCGGAACAGCUCCAGAGGAUGAGGAUGCUGAAGGACGCGCAGGAUGCGCUGGAGCGGGAAUACCUGCGGUGCCGGCAGCAGCUCCCGGAGGCUGCGGGAGGGUUUGACCCU